rnacentral:rRNA from 1 species
GACGAACGCUGGCGGCGUGCUUAACACAUGCAAGUCGAGCGGUAAGGCCCUUUCGGGGGUACACGAGCGGCGAACGGGUGAGUAACACGUGGGUGACCUGCCCUCAGCUCUGGGAUAAGCCUGGGAAACCGGGUCUAAUACCGGAUAUGACUCCAUGACGCAUGUUGUGGGGUGGAAAGCCUUGUGCGGCUGAGGAUGGGCCCGCGGCCUAUCAGCUUGUUGGUGGGGUGAUGGCCUACCAAGGCGACGACGGGUAGCCGGCCUGAGAGGGCGACCGGCCACACUGGGACUGAGACACGGCCCAGACUCCUACGGGAGGCAGCAGUGGGGAAUAUUGGACAAUGGGCGAAAGCCUGAUCCAGCCAUGCCGCGUGGGUGAAGAAGGCCCUAGGGUU